AGCUUUGCGCAGUGGCAGUAUCAUAGCCAAUGAGGUUUAUCCAAGGCACGAUUAUUGCUAAUUGAAAACUGAGAGAAGAGCUUUUGAGACAGAGAAACAGGAAGUGCAAAGGCCCUGAGGCA
rnacentral:snRNA from 3 species